rnacentral:rRNA from 1 species
AUUGAACGCUGGCGGCAGGCCUAACACAUGCAAGUCGAGCGGUAGAGAGGAGCUUGCUUCUCUUGAGAGCGGCGGACGGGUGAGUAAUGCCUAGGAAUCUGCCUAGUGGUGGGGGAUAACGUUCGGAAACGGACGCUAAUACCGCAUACGUCCUACGGGAGAAAGCGGGGGACCUUCGGGCCUCGCGCCAUUAGAUGAGCCUAGGUCGGAUUAGCUAGUUGGUGAGGUAACGGCUCACCAAGGCGACGAUCCGUAACUGGUCUGAGAGGAUGAUCAGUCACACUGGAACUGAGACACGGUCCAGACUCCUACGGGAGGCAGCAGUGGGGAAUAUUGGACAAUGGGCGAAAGCCUGAUCCAGCCAUGCCGCGUGUGUGAAGAAGGUCUUCGGAUUGUAAAGCACUUUAAGUUGGGAGGAAGGGCAGUAACUUAAUACGUUGCUGUUUUGACGUUACCGACAGAAUAAGCACCGGCUAA